rnacentral:rRNA from 1 species
AUGUUCUCUUGGAGAUGAAUAAGAGGUUUGGCCUGCUCACUGAAAUAUUAAAGAGCUGCAGUAUUUUGACUGUACAAAGGUAGCACAAUCACUAGCCCUUUAAUUGAGGGCUUGAAUGAAAGGUUAGACGGAUAAGGAUUGUUUCUGAUGUAUUUAAAUGAAUUUGUUUUUUCUGUUAAAAAUCAGAGAUAUUACUAAAAGACAAGAAGACCCUUUCAAAUUUUAUGUGUUGUUUUAAUUGGUUUGUAUAACAAGAAUAUAGUUACUUUAGUAGAUUUUGCUGGGGCGGUAAAUGGCAAGUGCGGCAAAAAGGAUAACUUUAUAAUGGAAAAAUAAUUAUGUGAUCCUUGGUGAGGAGUAAUAAAAGAAAUUACUGGAGGGAUAACAGCGUGAUGUGUUUUAAGAGUUCUUAUUGACAAACAUGUUUGCGA